rnacentral:rRNA from 1 species
AUGUGGGAGGACUCCACCCUCCUCAGGCUGCGCCGCCCUACGUCCCUCACCUCGAUUGAAGCUGCCCGCUUCCUCCAGCCGCUCGCCGAUGGGGAUCUGCCGGCCGCCCGGCCCCGCGCCGCCACAGUCCAGGAAGGAGAUAUCGCCGUGCGGGCGCUUCUUGAGCUCGGGAGAGGCACAGGAGAAGGAAGAGGCAAAAGGGAGAUCAUCUACAUUAAUCUCCUGUCAAUUAUUGGAAAUCCCAAGUACUUCACGAGCAAACCACCUAUGGAGAAGGAUGGUAGAAGUGAGUUCAAAAGGGAGAUCAUCCACACCACUUGCAGAUCAGCAGGAGGAGAACAAUCAGUAGAGCGAUAG